rnacentral:lncRNA from 1 species
AAAUAACACGUAAAAAAACAAAAAAACUGCAUAGUUUCCUAGGAACGCGAAGCGAGGCGGCCAUCUCUGUCGGCGCCGGAAUACAGAUAGAGUACAGAUAAAACUAAGAGUGACAUGCGCACACACAUGGAAAAAUGUCAACAGAUGAGUAAUAUUGUGUGUGUGUGUGGUGUGUUGUGUGUGUAUAGGUGUGCCAUCUCUCUCUCACCUCUGCAGGCUGCGGUCAGGGAAGAGUUAGGUUCCGUGGUUCUGAUGCAGACAGCUGUGGUCCGACAGCUUCCUCUUCCCCCUCCACUGCAGAUUACCUCCAGUUCAGAGACAUCCCACCACCCUCGCACGCAACAACAGUCCCACAGGGAGGGUUUCCACAGCGACUAUAACGAUGACAUACAGGGCUUCAUAUAACCUGCCACUGAAGUGUCCUCAAUCAAAAAUACCCACACACCCAGUUCCCUAUGCACACACCCAGUUCCCUAUGCACACACCCAGUUCCCGAUGCACACACCCAGUUCCCUAUGCACACACCCAGUUCCCGAUGCACACACCCAGUUCCCGAUGCACACACCCAGUUCCCGAUGCACACACCCAGUUCCCGAUGCACACACCUGUUCUAUGUUUCUGUUCUGUUGAUGUGUGUUUUGGAAUAGAUCAGCUCUAUUGUAACACUGAUGUGGUGAAAAUGAAUAUUUUUGUAUCCUUUGUAGAAUUGCCUGUUGUUUGUUUUGAUUAUUGUUAA